rnacentral:rRNA from 1 species
CAAAAACAUUUCUAUUAAUAUUAUUAAUAGUAAUAUCUGCUCAAUGAAUAAUUAAAUAGCCGCAAUAGUGCUAAGGUAGCAUAAUCAUUUGUCUUUUAAUUGAAGACUAGAACAAAAGAUUUCACAUUUUAAUUAAUUUAUUUAUAAUAAAAAUUUAAAUUAUCAAUAAUGUAAAAAGACAUUUAACAAAAGAAAGACGACAAGACCCUAUUGAACUUAACUUUAGUUAAACUGGGGCAGUUAAUUAAUUAAUAUUUUAAUUAAUAUAAUAUAAAAAAAACCUUUAUUAAUAUAUUAUAAUAAGUUACCAUAGGGAUAACAGCAUAAUUAUUAUUUUAAGAUCUUAUAUAAAUAUAAAAUUAUGACCUCGAUGUUGAAUUAAUAACCUAUAAUACGCAAUAG